rnacentral:rRNA from 1 species
UGAAUACGAGACGCUAAGGCGUCGAAGUAGUGUAUGUCAUACUUCCAAGAAAAGCUUGCACUGUCAUAGAUAAAAAACGCCUGUACCAUAACCGACACAGGUGGGUAGGUAGAGUAUACUAAGGGGCGCGAGAUAACUCUCUCUAAGGAACUCGGCAAAAUAACUCCGUAACUUCGGGAGAAGGAGUGCCUUAUUAUUAAGGCUGCAAUAACAAGAUCCAAGCAACUGUUUAUCAAAAACACAGGUCUCCGCUAAGUCGUAAGACGAUGUAUGGGGGCUGACGCCUGCCCAGUGCCAGAAGGUUAAAGAAGUUGGUUAGCAUUUGCGAAGCUGAUAACUGAAGCCCUGGUGAACGGCGGCCGUAACUAUAACGGUCCUAAGGUAGCGAAAUUCCUUGUCGGGUAAGUUCCGACCCGCACGAAAGGCGUAAUGAUUUGGAUACUGUCUCGGAGAGGGGCUCGGUGAAAUAGACUUGUCUGUGAAGAUGCGGACUACCUGCACCAGGACAGAAAGACCCUAUGAAGCUUUACUGUAACUUGAAAUUGAAAUUGGACUUUAUUCGCGCAGCAUAGGUGGGAGGCGUUGAUUAUAAUCUUGUGGGAUUAUUGGAGCCAUCAGUGAGAUACCACUCUUGUAAUGUUAGAUUUCUAACUUUGAAUCAUUAUCUGGUCAAAGAACAGUUUCAGGCGGGCAGUUUGACUGGGGCGGUCGCCUCCUAAACGGUAACGGAGGCGUACAAAGGUUUCCUCUGAACGGUUAGAAAUCGUAUCUAGAGUGUAAAGGCAUAAGGAAGCUUGACUGUGAGACCUACAAGUCGAGCAGGGACGAAAGUCGGUCUUAGUGAUCUGACGGUACUGAGUGGAAAGGCCGUCACUCAACGGAUAAAAGUUACUCUAAGGAUAACAGGCUGAUCUCCCCCAAGAGUUCACAUCGACGGGGAGGUUUGGCACCUCGAUGUCGGCUCAUCGCAUCCUGGGGCGGUAGUGCGUCCCAAGGGUUGGGCUGUUCGCCCAAGAAAGCGGUACGCGAGCUGGGUUCAGAACGUCGUGAGACAGUUCGGUCCAUAUCCGGUGUAGGCGUUAGAAUAUUGAGAGGAGCCUUCUUUAGUACGAGAGGACCGAGAAGGACAUACCUCUGGUGUACCAGUUAUCGUGCCAACGGUAAACGCUGGGUAGCUAUGUAUGGAGUGGAUAACCGCUGAAAGCAUCUAAGUGGGAAGCCCACCUCAAGAUAAGUAUUCUCAC